rnacentral:lncRNA from 1 species
CCCAUAAAUGCCAUCUCCAGGAGAGGAGGUCCAACUACGUACAUCCUCACAAAGUUGCACCCGGGUCAGGAAAUGCCUGGCUGCACCGCAGCGAUUGCAGUCUCCGCAGUGACUGACGCCCAGAGUUCGCUCAUGAAGUGCGGGGAGACACGAAGGUUCUCCUUUGUAACUAACCCGCUCUCUCAAAUUGGUGGUAGUGAAGUCCAUUCACUUUGUGAAGGUCCAGUGAUCUGGAAGGAAGCCUGGAACUCCUUGUGGCCUGAAUGUACUCAUAACCUCUCCCCUUGUGAGUCCCUGCCACAGUGGCGACGGAGAAACCACCCUGCAGGUCACUAGAAGGUGUGCAAUUGCUCCCCACUACAGACUCCUAGAGAGACAGUAUUCACCAUCUUCCGAGGCAAAUAUUAAUUACAUUAUUCUUACUGAGGUCUGAAGAGAGUCUACAACUUGGGCCAGGUGUGGAGUGAGAGGUGGAGAGAAGAUUCAGACUCAAGGUAUUCCCCUGUGCCACAUGUUUGCUUAUUUUCUUCUGGUGAAAUAUACCACUAGAUGUAAACUUGCUGAAGUUAGGCAUUGUUUUACUUUUUUCACCUUUGUGUCUUUCUCAGAGUUUAACAUCAUCCUGACACUAAGAAAAUAUUGAAUAAAGAGCAGUUGGGUUGAAUUAAAUGUAGAUGA